rnacentral:ncRNA from 1 species
AUGAUGUAUGGAAAGAGAGGAGGUUAGUCCUCCCCUCGAUAAGUAUGGAAGAGGUCUUACUGACCUUUACAACAUGUGCAUGGAGAAGUUAUUGACACCUAUUCUGUGGCUUUUUUGUUCAUUUUU